rnacentral:rRNA from 1 species
GAAGGCCUUAGGGUUGUAAAGCUCUUUUACCAGGGAUGAUAAUGACAGUACCUGGAGAAUAAGCUCCGGCUAACUCCGUG